GAUGAACGCUGGCGGCGUGCCUAAUACAUGCAAGUCGAGCGAACGGACGAGAAGCUUGCGUCUCUGAUGUUAGCGGCGGGCGGGUGAGUAACGCGUGUAUAACCUACCUAUAAGACUGGGAUAACUUCGGGAAACCGGAUCUAAUACCGGAUAAUAUUUUGAACCGCAUGGUUCAAAAGUGAAAUACGGUCUUGCGGUCACUUAUAGAUGGAUCCGCGCUGCAUGAGCUAGUUGGUAAGGUAACGGCUUACCAAGGCAACGAUGCAUAGCCGAACUGAUAGGCGGGUCGGCCACCUGGGAACUGAGACACGGUCAAGAGUCCUGCGGGAGGCCGCAGUCGGGAAUCUUACGCAACAGGCGGAAGUCUGACGGAGCAACCCCGCGCGAGAUAUGACGGCGUCGGGAUCGUAAAACCCUGUUAUUAGUGAAGAACCUCUGUGUCCGUAAAUGUGCCGAGCUUGACGGUAACUAAUAAGAAAGCACCGGCUAACUACGUG
rnacentral:rRNA from 1 species